GAUAAACGCUAGCGGUGCGCCUAACACAUGCAAGUCGAGCGAUCGAACUGGACUGAUCACCCUUCGGGGUGAGAGGACCAGUGACGGAGCGGCGGACUGGUGAGUAACGCGUAGCCAACCUACCCCCUUGACGGAGAUAACUACCUGAAAGGGUAGCUAAUACCCGAUAUUGCUCGAGAUCGAAAGAUCUUGAGCCAAAGGCGGUCUUGCCGUCGCAAGAGGAGGGGGCUGCGUCCUAUUAGCUUGUUGGUGGGGUAAUGGCCCACCAAGGCGAUGAUGGGUAGCUGGUCUGAGAGGAUGGCCAGCCACAUUGGGACUGAGAUACGGCCCAGACUUCUACGGGAGGCAGCAGUGGGGAAUCUUUCGCAAUGGGCGAAAGCCUGACGGAGCGACACCGCGUGGGGGAUGAAGGCUUUCGGGUUGUAAACCUCUUUUCUGGGGGAAGAAUAAGGGCGGGAGGAAAUGCCCGUCCGAUGACGGUACCCCAGGAAUAAGCAUCGGCUAACUUCGUGCCAGCGGCCGCGGUAAGACGAAGGAUGCAAGCGUUAUCCGGAAUUACUGGGCGUAAAGGGCGCCUAGGCGGCUGAGUAAGUCACCCGUGAAAGCCCUCAGCUCAACUGAGGAAUGUCGAGUGAAACUGCCCAGCUUGGGUGCAGGAGAGGAGGGUGGAACUCACAGAGUAGCGGUGGAAUGCGUAGAUACUGUGAGGUACCCCGAUGGCGAAGGCAACCCUCUGGCUGCUACCGACGCUGAAGCGCGAAAGCGUGGGGAGCAAAGGGGAUUAGAUACCCCGUAGUCCACGCCGCAAACGAUGUUCACUGGGUGUCGGUCGCUAAUACAGAUCGGUGCCGGAGCUAACGCGUUAAGUGAACCGCCUGGGGAGUACGGCCGCAAGGCUAAAACUCAAGAGAAUUGACGGGGCCCCGCACAAGCGGUGGAGCACGUGGUUUAAUUCGAUGAUAAGCGAAGAACCUCACCUGGGUUUGACAUGCUAGUGGUAGGAACCGGAAACGGGGACGACCCUUGCCUUCGGGUAAGGGAGCUAGUACAGGUGAUGCAUGGCUGUCGUCAGUUCGUGUCGUGGGACGUUGGGUUAAGUCCCGAAACGAGCGCAACCCCUGUCGUCAGUUGCCAGCGGGUAAAGCCGGGGACUCUGACGAGACUGCCGGUGAAUAGCCGGAGGAAGGAGGGGAUGACGUCAAGUCAUCAUGUCCCUUAUGCCCAGGGCGACACACAUGCUACAAUGGGGGGUACAAAGGGCUGCAAUGCCGUAAGGCUGAGCCAAUCCCAAAAAACCUUCCUCAGUUCGGAUUGAGGUCUGUAACUCGACCUCAUGAAGCCGGAAUCGCUAGUAAUCGCAGGUCAGCCACACUGCGGUGAAUAUGUACUCGGGGCUUGUACACACCGCCCGUCACACCAACCGAGUGGGGGGUACUUAAAGUCGCU
rnacentral:rRNA from 1 species